UCCACUAUUGUUCUUGAAGAAGCUGGAGGAAACAGAUCAUCUCCCUUCAAGGAUUGUGCUAAGAACUUUACCUGUCAGCAUUGAAAUCCGAGUGCCUUGGACUACCUGUCUCUUCAUAC